rnacentral:rRNA from 1 species
AUUGAACGCUGGCGGCAGGCCUAACACAUGCAAGUCGAGCGGAUGAAGGGAGCUUGCUCCUGGAUUCAGCGGCGGACGGGUGAGUAAUGCCUAGGAAUCUGCCUGGUAGUGGGGGAUAACGUCCGGAAACGGGCGCUAAUACCGCAUACGUCCUGAGGGAGAAAGUGGGGGAUCUUCGGACCUCACGCUAUCAGAUGAGCCUAGGUCGGAUUAGCUAGUUGGUGGGGUAAAGGCCUACCAAGGCGACGAUCCGUAACUGGUCUGAGAGGAUGAUCAGUCACACUGGAACUGAGACACGGUCCAGACUCCUACGGGAGGCAGCAGUGGGGAAUAUUGGACAAUGGGCGAAAGCCUGAUCCAGCCAUGCCGCGUGUGUGAAGAAGGUCUUCGGAUUGUAAAGCACUUUAAGUUGGGAGGAAGGGCAGUAAGUUAAUACCUUGCUGUUUUGACGUUACCAAUAGAAUAAGCACCGGCUAACUUCGUGC